ACAAACUUGGUCAUUUAGAGGAAGUAAAAGUCGUAACAAGGUUUCCGUAGGUGAACCUGCGGAAGGAUCAUUAAUGGAUUUUUGGGGAUUGAUGCUGGCCCGAAUGGGUACUGUGCUCGCCCUAAUCAUUAUUCAUACACCUGUGCACCUUUGGGGGAUAAGGGAAACCUUUUUCCCCCUUUGAUCAUAAAACACCCUUUAUCGAACUAAAGAAUGUUGACGGCGACCUGAAUGGUCAUUAAUAAAAAAUACAACUUUUAACAACGGAUCUCUUGGCUCUCGCAUCAAUGAAGAACGCAGC
rnacentral:misc_RNA from 1 species